rnacentral:rRNA from 1 species
UACGGGAGGCAGCAGUGGGGAAUUUUGGGCAAUGGGCGAAAGCCUGACCCAGCAACGCCGCGUGAAGGAUGAAAUCCCUCGGGAUGUAAACUUCGCAAGAACGGGAAGAAUAAGUAGGGGACAAUACCCCCUAUGAUGACGGUACCGUUUGUAAGCUCCGGCUAACUCCGUGCCAGCAGCCGCGGUAAUUCGGGGGGAGCAAGCGUUGUUCGGAUUUACUGGGCGUAAAGGGCGCGUAGGCGGCCAGCACAAGUCAGUUGUGAAAUCUCCGAGCUUAACUCGGAAAGGUCAACUGAUACUGUGCGGCUAGAGUGCGGAAGGGGCAACUGGAAUUCUUGGUGUAGCGGUGAAAUGCGUAGAUAUCAAGAGGAACACCUGCGGCGAAGGCGGGUUGCUGGGCCGACACUGACGCUGAGGCGCGAAAGCCAGGGGAGCGAACGGGAUUAGAUACCCCGGUAGUCCUGGCCUUAAACGAUGAAUGCUUGGUGUCUGGGGUUAUAUAGUCCCCGGGUGCCGUCGCUAACGCUUUAAGCAUUCCGCCUGGGGAGUACGGUCGCAAGACUGAAACUCAAAGGAAUUGACGGGGACCCGCACAAGCGGUGGAGCAUGUGGUUUAAUUCGACGCAACGCGAAGAACCUUACCUGGGCUAGAAUGCCUCUGACAACCCUAGAGAUAGGGCCUCCAAGGUAAAACUUGGCAGAGUGCAAGGUGCUGCAUGGCUGUCGUCAGCUCGUGUCGUGAGAUGUUGGGUUAAGUCCCGCAACGAGCGCAACCCUUAUCUUUAGUUGCCAGCAUUAAGUUGGGCACUCUAGAGAGACUGCCGUUGACAAAACGGAGGAAGGUGGGGAUGACGUCAAGUCCUCAUGGCCUUUAUGUCCAGGGCUACACACGUGCUACAAUGGCCGGUACAAACCGCUGCAAACCUGCAAAGGGGAGCCAAUCGGAAAAAGCCGGUCUCAGUUCGGAUUGAAGUCUGCAACUCGACUUCAUGAAGUUGGAAUC